UGGGGAAUAUUGGGCAAUGGACGCAAGCCUGACCCAGCAACGCCGCGUGAAGGAAGAAGGCCCUCGGGUUGUAAACUUCUUUUGUCAGGGACGAAGAAAGUGACGGUACCUGACGAAUAAGCCACGGCUAACUACGUGCCAGCAGCCGCGGUAAUACGUAGGUGGCAAGCGUUAUCCGGAUUUACUCGGUGUAAAGGGCGUGUAGGCGGGAGAGCAAGUCAGACGUGAAAUUCCAGGGCUCAACCCUGGAACUGCGUUUGAAACUGUUCUUCUUGAGUGUUGGAGAGGCAGGCGGAAUUCCGUGUGUAGCGGUGAAAUGCGUAGAUAUACGGAGGAACACCAGUGGCGAAGGCGGCCUGCUGGACAAUAACUGACGCUGAGGCGCGAAAGCGUGGGGAGCAAACAGGAUUAGAUACC
rnacentral:rRNA from 1 species